UGGAAGGUAAAAAGCGUAACAAGGUCUCCGUUGGUGAACCAGCGGAGGGAUCAUUACCGAGUUUACAACUCCCAAACCCCUGUGAACAUACCACUUGUUGCCUCGGCGGAUCAGCCCGCUCCCGGUAAAACAGGACGGCCCGCCAGAGGACCCCUAAACUCUGUUUCUAUAUUUAACUUCUGAGUAAAACCAUAAAUAAAUCAAAACUUUCAACAACGGAUCUCUUGGUUCUGGCAUCGAUGAAGAACGCAGCAAAAUGCGAUAAGUAAUGUGAAUUGCAGAAUUCAGUGAAUCAUCGAAUCUUUGAACGCACAUUGCGCCCGCCAGUAUUCUGGCGGGCAUGCCUGUUCGAGCGUCAUUUCAACCCUCAAGCACAGCUUGGUGUUGGGACUCGCGUUAAUUCGCGUUCCUCAAAUUGAUUGGCGGUCACGUCGAGCUUCCAUAGCGUAGUAGUAAAACCCUCGUUACUGGUAAUCGUCGCGGCCACGCCGUUAAACCCCCAACUUCUGAAUGUGACCUCGAUCAGUAGAUGA
rnacentral:rRNA from 1 species